ACAUUGCAAGGAUGCCUCAAAAUACUUUAAUGGGCAUGGAAGAUCGAGAAGAUGUCAGAGGUGAUGAUGUAAAGAAGGGAACUGGGGUCCAUAUAGCGACUCCUUAUCCUGCUAAGAAGGCUGGUAAGAGUGACAAAUCAAAGCAAGAAACUCCAAAAUCUGCUGCUACUCCAGUCGCUUGCAACACUUGUAGCAAGACAUUCAACUCGGAGAAGGGACUAGAAUCUCAUAGUAACGC